GUGCUCGCUUCGGCAGCACAUAUACUAAAAUUGGAACGAUACAGAGAAGAUUAGCAUAAAUAAGGCAGUAUUGUAGUUGAUAAAAAUUAAAAUUAAAUUUUU